CCAAAAUCCCCAAAUCGGCAGCCCUAAGUCCCGUCUCUCUCUCGUAUCUCUGCCUCUCGAUCUCCUCUCGACGUCGACGAACAGCAGGCGAUAGGCGACGAUGGACGGGCUUCAGCACCGGAUGAGCGACGGCGACGAAGCCCCGGCGAGGCGGCCCAGCGGUGGCAGCAGCUCCAUCUCUCUCUCGCUUCCGGUCGCGGCGGUGGUUCUGGUCGGCGAAGCAACAGUGGAGCGGUGGUGGCUCGAAAUUGAUUAGGCAGAAAAUAAGGGAUUAAGGCUUCUAAUGAAGGUUCCCCGUUGAAUUGAAGUGGCUAGUCUGAGAGUUGAGUUUUAGAGUGGAUGCUUGCUUUUGGAGCUUAGCUUUGAGGACUUGAUAGAAGUGACCCGUUCUAAGAGUGCGGUGUAGAGCUAGUUUCCCUUGGAGUUGUAGCUUGGUUUAAAUGGUUUAGUUUAGAAUUCAAAAUGUUGUAUUAUAGUUGAUUUGUAAUUCGAUUAGUGAAUUGUUGUAAUAUGGAUUGCAGUUAGAAAGCUUUGUAGCCUGUGCGUUUGGGCUUAGUGGUGGUCCAAGCGUGGCAUAACACCCCAUUGGUUUAGAGUUUGAAUUCGCUUCCGCAUUUGUUUUCAGAAUGGUUAGUAAGAAAGAUUGUUUAUUUAUGAUUAAUCAUGUAUUAGAAAUUGGGGGUGUUACGCGCGCGCGCACACACACAUAUAUAUUUCUGAAUUCAUUGAUUUAUUAUUUAUUAGAGCAAAUUGCCAUUUUGGUCCA